CAAGGGAGGUAAAGGAACAGAAGGGCAGAUAGAGUCAGUACAGCAUCAGUAUCCUCCGGGAAUGCGACCUGAUCACUGGCAUACCACGAUCUCUAUAGGGACCAGCACGGGCGCAAUCGCAUGGAGCCAGAGUUUCAAACGCAGCACAUCCAACAGAUCACUGGAUAAGACACACGGCGCCUCUUCGUUCCUCUACAGACCUCUAGAGUGGGUAAACCAUGGGUAAGAAAGUCUUGCAGUGUUUUCCUUGGUACAAACGCUGUAAAGACCGGGGUAAAAGCAGGCUGUGCCCUCCUCCGCCUGUGCCAUCUGUUGAGGUGCAACCUGGCUUCUCUCCGACAGUCUCCUGGGGUUACGACGGAGAGGAAAGCGCCGCACGUCCCGUUUAUUUUUCCCAUAAGGCGCGAGUAGUUUAUCGCCACCAGAUGGAUGGCAAUAUUAUCGACGCCACCUGCUGACCGCUGGGCUUCUUUCCCAGAAUCCCUUGCCUUGUACCUGGCUGUAGACGUCCAGUGUAGAGGAGCAUCGUAGCAGCCUACUAGACUGUUCCGUCCUGUGUAAUUAAACUAAAUCUUUUGUAUUUAGUAAAGAUGUCACAGUGUGUCCUCUGGUUCCUCCAUCCUCUCCCCAUACCUGGCAUUCACCUGUCUUGUACUUACUGUGUUGAAAUAUAAUAUAAUGUUUCAAGGCAGACAGAGUGAUGUAGGCCACAUGGAAUGGAAAAACAGGAACUGAGCUGGAUUUUAUAAAUACAAAUUUAAUAUGUGUUUUGUCAUGCAAUGUAUGUUUGCCUAUUGCUUUUCAGAGGACAAACCAUUUUUUCAGAGGUUCAUGAAUGCAUUUCAGGCAAAAGAUAAAAUGUUGUACUAAUCAAUGGAAUUAUAAUAUAAAAUGUAUGUGCAUUUAGUAAUUGU